GGCCGGAGGGGGGAGGAGGCGGCCCUAGCGCCAUUUUGUGGGAGCGAAGUGGUUGCUGGGCUGCUCUUGGAUUCCUCGCUGCUUCAGUGUCCCUGUCGGGCUUCCUAGCAGCGGCCUAGCGGCAAGACAAGCAAAGAUGUCCGAAUAUAUUCGGGUAACCGAAGAUGAGAACGACGAGCCCAUUGAAAUACCAUCAGAAGACGAUGGGACAGUGCUGCUGUCCACAGUUACAGCCCAGUUUCCAGGGGCAUGUGGGCUUCGCUACAGGAAUCCAGUGUCUCAAUGUAUGAGAGGGGUCCGUCUGGUAGAAGGCAUUCUGCACGCCCCUGAUGCUGGCUGGGGGAACCUGGUGUAUGUUGUCAACUAUCCCAAAGAUAACAAAAGGAAAAUGGAUGAAACAGAUGCUUCAUCAGCAGUGAAAGUGAAAAGAGCAGUCCAGAAAACAUCUGAUUUAAUAGUGUUGGGUCUCCCAUGGAAAACAACUGAACAGGAUCUAAAAGAAUAUUUUAGUACCUUUGGAGAAGUUCUUAUGGUUCAGGUCAAGAAAGAUAUUAAAACUGGUCAUUCAAAAGGGUUUGGCUUUGUUCGUUUUACGGAAUAUGAAACCCAGGUGAAAGUAAUGUCACAGCGACAUAUGAUAGAUGGACGAUGGUGUGACUGUAAACUUCCAAAUUCUAAGCAAAGCCCAGAUGAGCCUUUGAGAAGCAGAAAGGUGUUUGUUGGGCGUUGUACGGAAGACAUGACUGCUGAUGAGUUGCGGCAGUUUUUUUGCCAGUACGGAGAAGUGGUAGAUGUCUUCAUUCCCAAACCGUUCAGGGCUUUUGCCUUUGUUACGUUUGCAGAUGAUCAGGUUGCCCAAUCUCUUUGUGGAGAGGACUUGAUCAUUAAAGGAAUCAGCGUACAUAUAUCCAAUGCUGAACCUAAACACAAUAGCAAUAGACAGUUAGAAAGAAGUGGAAGAUUUGGUGGUAAUCCAGGUGGCUUUGGGAAUCAGGGUGGAUUUGGUAACAGUAGAGGGGGUGGAGCUGGUUUGGGAAACAAUCAAGGUAGUAAUAUGGGCGGAGGGAUGAACUUUGGUGCUUUUAGCAUUAAUCCAGCAAUGAUGGCUGCAGCCCAGGCAGCUCUGCAGAGCAGCUGGGGUAUGAUGGGCAUGUUAGCCAGUCAGCAGAACCAGUCAGGCCCAUCGGGUAAUAACCAAAGCCAAGGCAACAUGCAGAGGGAGCCAAAUCAGGCUUUUGGUUCUGGAAAUAACUCUUAUACUGGUUCUAAUUCAGGUGCAGCAAUUGGUUGGGGAUCAGCAUCAAAUGCAGGGUCAGGCAGUGGUUUUAAUGGAGGCUUUGGCUCAAGUAUGGAUUCUAAAUCUUCUGGCUGGGGAAUGUAGACAUUGGGUUAUCGUUAGUUGGUAUGAACUGGUGGGAAUUCAGAUUUUUCUAAACUCAUGGUAAGUAUAUUGUAAAAUACGUAUGUACUAAGAAUUUUCAAAAUUGGUUCAGUGUGGAGUAUAUUCAGCAGUAUUUUUGACAUUUUUCUUUAGAAAAAGAGGAAGAGCUAAAGGAAUUUUAUAAGUUUUGUUACAUAAAGGGUUGAAAUAUUGAGUGUUUGAAAGUGAACUGCUGUUUGCCUGAUUGGUAAACCAACACACUACAAUUGAUAUCAAAAGGUUUCUCCUGUAAUAUUUUAUCCCUGGACUUGUCAAGUGAAUUCUUUGCAUGUUCAAAAUGGAAACCAUUGGUUAGAACUACAUUCUUUUCUCCUUGUUUUAAUUUGAACCCCACCAUACGGAUUUUUUCCUUAGGAAAAUCUUUUUGGAGAUCAUGGUGUCACAGUGUUUGGUUCUUUUGUUUUUUGUUUUUGUUUUUUAACACUUGUCUCCCUUCAUAUACAAAAGUACAAUAUGAAGCCUUCAUUUAAUCUCUGCAGUUCAUCUCAUUUCAAAUGUUUAUGGAAGAAGCACUUCAUUGAAAGUAGUGCUGUAAAUAUUCUGCCAUAGGAAUACUUCUGUCUACAUGCUUUCUCAUUCAAGAAUUCGUCAUCACGCUGCACAGGCUGUGUCUUUGACGCCCUGAAUGCAAAGAAUUCAUAGCAGUUAAUUCCCCUUUUUUGACCCUUUUGAGAUGGAACUUUCAUAAAGUUUCUUGGCAGUAGUUUAUUUUGCUUCAAAUAAACUUAUUUGAAAAGUUGUCUCAAGUCAAAUGGAUUCAUCACCUGUCAUGCAUUGACACCUGAUACCCAGACUUAAUUGCUAUUUGUUCUUGCAUUGUCCAAAGUGAAAAGUUUUUUUUUUUUCUUUUUAAAUCUAGUUUUUAAUAAGUCUGGGUGACCGCACCUAAAAUGGUAAGCAGUACCCUCCAGCUUUUUCUUAGUGCCUCUGUGCAUUUGGGUGAUGUUCUAUUUACAUGACCUGUUAUAAAUCUCCAUUGGGAAAUCAUGCCUUCUAAAAAUAUUCUUAUUUGGAGGAGUGGACAGAACAAUGUUAAUUAUUUUAAAAUGCUUUGUAGCAAAGCCUAUCAAUUGAAGGGAAUAUCAGCACCUUUCUAGUUGGGGAUUUGAAAAGUGGAAUUAAUUGCAAUAGGGAUAAAGUAGAAGAAACCACAAAUUAUCUUGUGCCUGAAAUCCAUUAAGAAGCCUGAUAGCUUUAAGAACUAGCAGGGUGGGUUGUCUGUCUGUGGAAGUGUUAAGUGAAAUGGGCUUUGUCUUCCAAACGUGGGGAAAUAGAGUAAUGUUGAAUAAAAUUGCUUAUAAAACUCAGAUUAGACUCUCACGGUGCAUUGUUAAGUAUGUAAAAGCAAUAAUAUAUUCUCUAUUGUACUUAAAAUGUAACUACUAUGAGAGUUGAGCUCCUUUUCUAAUGGAAGAAUGUAAGUUUUUGUGCUGAUAAUCUACCUAAUGCCCUUAUCUAAUGAGAUUAUGAUAAAUAGGUUUGUCAUUUUGCAAGUUACAUGUUUUAAACUUUUGUAAAUGAAGUCGUCCUUUAGACUUAUGGUCGCCACAUUGUUUUAUUCAGUUUCCUCUGUAAAAGGAUCUUGCGUUGUUUUAAUUUUUUUUUUUUCUGCAUCUAAAUUGCAUGAUUUCCAAACCCUGUACCAUCUGAAUUUUGCAUUUUAGCACUUGCACUAUUACUCAGCAGCAGUAACAUGGUAACACUUAAAAUGGUAUUCGGGGACCUCCAAAGACUAAACUGACAAGCCUUCAAGGAGCCCAGGGGUAAGUUAUCUUUGUCAAUGGCAUGGUUUUGAUCCCUUAUUUACACCUGUGUAAAUCUAGUUACCAGUCUUAGAAGGCUUUCAAUGUUGACUAGCCUUCUGUUAACAUGUUUAUGGUACUACAUAGCUAUGGGUAUUUAAUUC